CAUCUCAUAAACCCUCAAUUCAAAAAAAACACACCAAACAUGAGCAAAUUAAAUACAACAUUAUUACAAAAGUACUAGUAGGUAGCUAGAAAUUCUAUGCUACCAUAUUCAAACAAGCCCAAUUUGUUCGAGCUAAAAAAGUAAUAUCACUCGAUCAUUAUUAUCAAAUUCAUUGCAAUUUUUUUUGUCGGACUAGUAAUAGUUAAUAGCCAGG
rnacentral:lncRNA from 1 species